CUGAUGUUGGAUGGCCCGGCCCCCAUUUCUUCAUGAUUAAAGGCCUCCAGGAGGGCUGGAAAAGUGUGUGGAAGAAAGAUUAUAAACAGCAAUUUUUACAGGCCAAAUUGCCUCCUAAAUGAGGGAGUAGGGGACUUAAAGGUGAACAUAACUGUCUCUUUCACUGCAUGCAAAGGUAUGUGCUGUGUGAGAAGCUACGUUCUAACUUCCUUUUGGCAAGUAUUCCUUAACAGGCCUUGCAGAUACCUGAAACCAAUUUUAACCCACUCUGGUCCUCCACUGACCACCACGUUACCUGAAUGGUGCGGGCCCAUUUCCCGGCUGCUCACCAGUCCUCAGGCCUAUGGGGAGCAGCUAAAAGAGGAAGAUGUAGAAUGCAUUGUGAAUCAGGACGAACUGGCCAUGAGUUACCAGGAGCAAGCCACCUCGCCCCGCAGUCCUCCUGCAGGGCUGGAUCUGGACCAGAAAGCUUCACCACAGACUCCAAGCAAAGACAACAUUUACGAGGGGGACCUCGGCCUAGGAGGCUAUGAACUCAAGCUUGAGCAGACUCCGGGUCAGUCCCCGCUGAAUUAAUGGUGGACAGUGCAGACAUAAUCACAAGUAAGGCAAGGCUCAUUGAGACGUACAAGCCAAGCUGGGGAGGCAGCAUAGGGAAGAGAGGCUGGAAAAUACAGGAGGAGCAUAAAUUGGAGAGAAUCAAAAUCUUGUCACAAGUAUCCUCUGGUGCCUAAAGAAAUGAGAAUUUAUUAUCACCCCUCUAUAUCAUGCAAUUGAAUUUAAGUUUUGACAGCAGCCAAUUUUAUUAGUGACUUGGGUGGGGUGGGAAGGGCAGAGAAGCGAGGUCAGGAGUCUCGCUGCUCUAAGGGAGGAACGGAUGUGCUUGUGUCUGAGGGUGUUUCCUUCUGGUAUGCAGCUCUCCACACCCUUCACCCCUAUUUUGGAUUUCAUUCCCUUCAUUAGGGAGAGUUUAAAAAUAAGGAAAAAAGUUUCUGAGCAUAAACAUGUGGCUCCUAAGCUGAAAGGAAUGCCCAGUUAUUUAGUACCUGAUCAUUUGUAUAUCAUAAAGACCUAGACUCCUACAUGCCCUUAAUGCCUUCAGGACUAUUUGCAAAGCCCAGACAGGGGACCAAUACCACUGCUGAUGGCCUCACAGAAGCCAUGCCAUGUGGCAACCCACUGUUCCCAUGGGCAUUCUUGUCAAGCUGCUUCCCCCAUGGAAUGAAUGAAGGGGUUACUUCCAGCUGGGCAUAGCCUGCACUAAAUGUAGCUCUGCUUUCCAGCUUGCUAGGACCCCUUCCAAGGAGAGCAGUUUUCUUUUUCCCCCAUCCUAUAUUUUACCAAGAACAAGCCUUCCCAUGCUCGCUUGCAUCUGAGUCACAUCUCGGCCCCGUGGCAGGUCCCUUCUGUAUGCCGGGUAAUGAGGGUCCACAGCACAGGUUGUUCUCCACGUGGCAGGAGACAGCCCCGACCUGUCCUCCGAUCCCAACACCCCCAGCUGAGUAGCAAGAGCAGAAGCUAGAGGAGCAGAGCCCAUGAUGCGUCGACCACACUGAAGACUCAGGUGCGCUGCCUGGGGACUCCGUUACGAGACAUGGCUCUUGGCCCUGACAGAGAGACCGAUAUAAUAGCUUUUAAUUCAGCUGCAUGACCUGUGCCUUUUAAGCCAUAAAGAUACCUCAAGCCUAGCUUCUCUUGAAUUACAGAUGUUAGUACCAGAUUCCAGAAAAGCAGGCUCUGGUCUUAGGUGCCCAGGCUAUGAUGGGUCUGCUUCUGAAGGAGGUAGAGAAUGAUGUCUUCCUCAGGCCCAAAGCUCGGAAAUAACAUACGCUUUGCUAACCAGUUGUUAGGCUAUUAACCAUGGUGGUGUCAGGCACACUGCUAUGUACAUUGAUUUUCUUACUUUCCAAACAGUAGGAUCCAGGGGCACAAAUUGUUUCAUACUCAGCUAAGUAUAAUCUGGUCAUUCCAGGUAAAUAUGGCAAAUGGCAAAGCAUGAAGUUUUCUAUUUGACCUAAUCCUAAUAAACUUUUGUUAUAAUGUA